rnacentral:rRNA from 1 species
GUGGGGAAUAUUGCACAAUGGGCGAAAGCCUGAUGCAGCGAUGCCGCGUGAGGGAAGAAGGUUUUAGGAUUGUAAACCUCUGUCUUCAGGGACGAUAAUGACGGUACCUGAGGAGGAAGCUCCGGCUAACUACGUGCCAGCAGCCGCGGUAAUACGUAGGGAGCGAGCGUUGUCCGGAAUUACUGGGUGUAAAGGGAGUGGAGGCGGGACUGCAAGUCAGAUGUGAAAUUUAGGGGCUUAACCCCUAAACUGCAUUUGAAACUGUGGAUCUUGAGUGAAGUAGAGGUAAGCGGAAUUCCUAGUGUAGCGGUGAAAUGCGUAGAUAUUAGGAGGAACAUCAGUGGCGAAGGCGGCUUACUGGGCUUUUACUGACGCUGAGGCUCGAAAGCGUGGGGAGCAAACAGG